GCGCGGGGGGUGGGCAGACCCCGGCUUUCCAGAGAGCCCUCCCUCCUGGAUGGGUCGCUGGGCUCGUACCCAGGACGGCCCUCAGCGGGGGGUUUGCGGGUGAAGCCGGCUCGCAGGGUCCCGUUGCGGAGUCUGGACGACCCGGGAGCCGCUCGCGCUGCGCACAGGGGCGCGCGCGCCUGGAGACGGGUCUGCGCUGCGCCGCCGCCGCCGCCGCCGCCGCCGGGUCUCAGCACCGGCUCCUCUCUGGCCUCCCCCCCCCCCCCCUCCUCCUCCCGGACGGCGCCAGGCUACGAGCAGGGUGGUGGGGUGGAGGCCAUUGAACCGUAGAAGACACGACGGCCCCCGCGGAUGUGCAGUCGGGGGCUCCAAGCUGGCAUCUCUGGAGGAGGGUUCGGUGGUUCCCGGCAAGGCACGGAGGCUCCGGGAAAGGCCGGCUUAGGUCGGAAGGCCAGGCAGGGACCCGGCGGAGCGCAGGCCGGGUCUCCAGCGCGCGCGGCUCCGGGAUCGAGGGCCGGAGACCUUCCGGAGCGGACGGACCCGUGGGGCGCACGUGCCCCCAAGAAAGGCGCUCCAUGCGUGCGCCCAGGUGCCCAGCCGCGGACUCGCUCUCAGCGCACCUCGGCGGCCCCCGGAGCCCAACGCCACGCGCUGCCAGCUGCCGGAUGUGCGGUCCCGAGUCCUGCUCCCUGCGGCCAGCGCUGCCCACAGGGAUUCCGUCUCCAGCUUAUUUUCACGUUUGAGAACUCGACGGAACCGAUGGAGGUGCUGAAGUGGACGGCAAUGCCAAAAAAAGAAGAAAAAAAGAAAAGAAAAAGAAAAAGUCGAAUUCAAAGAUAAAUGGAGCUUUUCUUGUGAGAGGAGUCCGUCGCCUGUUUUUCCCACCUGCACCGCUCAGAGGCAAGAUCAAGAGCCGGCGGGAGGCUCAGCUCCCUGCACCGAUGGCGGCGGAGGCCCAGGCCCAGCCCGCAGCCUCCUGGGGGCCCCGCCCGCGUGGAGGGAGCAGGAGGCCGGGCCCGGCCCCCGAAGUCCUGGCUGUCUCCUUGGGUCACCACGCAGCU